rnacentral:rRNA from 1 species
GACGAACGCUGGCGGCGUGCCUAAUACAUGCAAGUAGAACGCACAGUUUAUACCGUAGCUUGCUACACCAUAAACUGUGAGUUGCGAACGGGUGAGUAACGCGUAGGUAACCUGCCUGGUAGCGGGGGAUAACUAUUGGAAACGAUAGCUAAUACCGCAUAAUAUUAAUUAUUGCAUGAUAAUUGAUUGAAAGAUGCAAUUGCAUCACUACCAGAUGGACCUGCGUUGUAUUAGCUAGUAGGUGAGGUAACGGCUCACCUAGGCGACGAUACAUAGCCGACCUGAGAGGGUGAUCGGCCACACUGGAACUGAGACACGGCCCAGACUCCUACGGGAGGCAGCAGUAGGGAAUCUUCGGCAAUGGACGAAAGUCUGACCGAGCAACGCCGCGUGAGUGAAGAAGGUUUUCGGAUCGUAAAGCUCUGUUGUAAGAGAAGAACGGGUGUGAGAGUGGAAAGUUCACACUGAGACGGGAUCUUACCAGAAAGGGACGGCAAACUACG